rnacentral:rRNA from 1 species
ACUCAAAUGAAUUGACGGGGGCCCGCACAAGCGGUGGAGCAUGUGGUUUAAUUCGAUGCAACGCGAAGAACCUUACCUACUUUUGACAUCCUAAGAAUCUUGCAGAGAUGUGAGAGUGCCGAAAGGAAUUUAGAGACAGGUGCUGCAUGGCUGUCGUCAGCUCGUGUUGUGAGAUGUUGGGUUAAGUCCCGUAACGAGCGCAACCCUUAUCCUUAGUUGCCAGCGCGUAAAGGCGGGGACUCUAAGGAGACUGCUGGUGAAGAACCGGAGGAAGGCGGGGACGACGUCAAGUCAUCAUGGCCUUUAUAAGUAGGGCUACACACGUGCUACAAUGGUUGGUACAGAGGGCAGCGAAACUGCAAAGUGAAGCCAAUCCCGAAAAGCCAAUCGUAGUCCGGAUCGGAGUCUGCAACUCGACUCCGUGAAGUCGGAAUCGCUAGUAAUCGCGAAUCAGAAUGUUGCGGUGAAUACGUUCCCGGGCCUUGCACACACCGCCCGU